rnacentral:tRNA from 1 species
GGGCGAUUAGCUCAGCGGUAGAGCGGCGCCUUCACACGGCGUAGGCCACUGGUUCGAUCCCAGUAUCGCCCACCA